GUGGGUAGUUUGACUGGGGCGGUCUCCUCCUAAAGAGUAACGGAGGAGCACGAAGGUUGGCUAAUCCUGGUCGGACAUCAGGAGGUUAGUGCAAUGGCAUAAGCCAGCUUGACUGCGAGCGUGACGGCGCGAGCAGGUGCGAAAGCAGGUCAUAGUGAUCCGGUGGUUCUGAAUGGAAGGGCCAUCGCUCAACGGAUAAAAGGUACUCCGGGGAUAACAGGCUGAUACCGCCCAAGAGUUCAUAUCGACGGCGGUGUUUGGCACCUCGAUGUCGGCUCAUCACAUCCUGGGGCUGAAGUAGGUCCCAAGGGUAUGGCUGUUCGCCAUUUAAAGUGGUACGCGAGCUGGGUUUAGAACGUCGUGAGACAGUUCGGUCCCUAUCUGCCGUGGGCGCUGGAGAACUGAGGGGGGCUGCUCCUAGUACGAGAGGACCGGAGUGGACGCAUCACUGGUGUUCGGGUUGUCAUGCCAAUGGCACUGCCCGGUAGCUAAAUGCGGAAGAGAUAAGUGCUGAAAGCAUCUAAGCACGAAACUUGCCCCGAGAUGAGUUCUCCCUGAUUCCUUGAGAGUCCUGAAGGAACGUUGAAGACGACGACGUUGAUAGGCCGGGUGUGUAAGCGCAGCGAUGCGUUGAGCUAACCGGUACUAAUGAACCGUGAGGCUUAACCUUACAACGCCGAAG
rnacentral:rRNA from 1 species